GUAAAGCUGCAACAAGAUUAAAUGUUUUACACCUGACAAAGACUAAGUUUGUAGAUUACCUCCUUUGUGGACAUCACAAGUAGUGUAUUUUUCUAUUUAGAAACAAGUAUAAAAGUAGUUUCUGCGGCACUACAUUUGUCCAAAUAAUAGUCUAUCACUUUCUGUGAUUCCAGUUGCAAUCUGAUUUGAAAAAUUUCGAAAUUACUUCGCUCUAAAUAAAAUUAACUAACCGUCCUGUUAGGGCCGACUUUAUCCAGAAUAACAUAUCGAUCGGGCAACUCCUCGUCAAAGGCCAGCUCAUUUGGAUGGAAACUGAGGUCGGUCCGAUGGAUGUUCCUCCCAUUGUCGCUGGUGUAAUACAACUUCUUGUUGGUAGAGU